UACAGAGGGUGCAAGCGUUAAUCGGAAUUACUGGGCGUAAAGCGUGCGUAGUCGGUUAUUUAAGUCAGGUGUGAAAUCCCCGGGCUCAACCUGGGAAUUGCAUUUGAUACUGGAUAGCUAGAGUUCGGCAGAGGGAAGUGGAAUUUCUGGUGUAGCGGUGAAAUGCGUAGAUAUCGAGAGGAACACCUGCGGCGAAGGCGGGUUGCUGGGCUGAUACUGACGCUGAGGCGCGAAAGCCAGGGGAGCGAACGGG
rnacentral:rRNA from 1 species